rnacentral:SRP_RNA from 1 species
UGACAGGCUAGCCGGAGAGUUAGUCCCUCUCUGUAGCGCAAACGGACUUUAGGCGCGGUGAAGCGUGGCUGAGGGACAGUGAUUCUGUACAUAGUAACAGAGCUAUCGUAGAUUCACAGCCCUAUAGGAUGCUUUGGUUUAAAAACCCGGCCAGGCCCGGAAGGGAGCAACCGUAAUUAGACUGGAGUGUGCUUGUAGGUAAACUGUGAGGAGAAAAUGCUGUUACUCUCUAUACGGAUAGCUGUUUCGAGGCCAUGGCCUGUCA